UACGGGGGGGGCAAGCGUUGUUCGGAAUUACUGGGCGUAAAGGGCUCGUAGGCGGCCUACUAAGUCAGACGUGAAAUCUCUCGGCUUAACCGGGGAACUGCGUCUGAUACUGGUUGGCUUGAAUCCGGGAGAGGGAUGUGGAAUUCCAGGUGUAGCGGUGAAAUGCGUAGAUAUCUGGAGGAACACCGGUGGCGAAGGCGGCAUCCUGGACCGGUAUUGACGCUGAGGAGCGAAAGCCAGGGGAGCAAACGGG
rnacentral:rRNA from 1 species